UCCUGGCUCAGGAUGAACGCUGGCGGCGUGCUUAACACAUGCAAGUCGAACGGAACACCCUAGAAGGAGUUUUCGGACAACUGAUAGGACUGUUUAGUGGCGGACGGGUGAGUAACGCGUGAGUAACCUGCCUUGGAGUGGGGAAUAACAGCUGGAAACAGCUGCUAAUACCGCAUAAUAUAUCUGGGUCGCAUGGCUCUGGAUAUCAAAGAUUUAUCGCUCUGAGAUGGACUCGCGUCUGAUUAGCUGGUUGGCGGGGUAACGGCCCACCAAGGCGACGAUCAGUAGCCGGACUGAGAGGUUGGCCGGCCACAUUGGGACUGAGACACGGCCCAGACUCCUACGGGAGGCAGCAGUGGGGAAUAUUGGGCAAUGGGCGCAAGCCUGACCCAGCAACGCCGCGUGAAGGAAGAAGGCUUUCGGGUUGUAAACUUCUUUUCUCAGGGACGAAGCAAGUGACGGUACCUGAGGAAUAAGCCACGGCUAACUACGUGCCAGCAGCCGCGGUAAUAC
rnacentral:rRNA from 1 species